GACGAACGCUGGCGGCGCGCCUAACACAUACAAGUCGAACGGAGCUUAAAGAGCUUGCUUUUUAAGCUUAGUGGCGAACGGGUGAGUAACGCGUGAGUAACCUGCCCUGGAGUGGGGGACAACAGUUGGAAACGACUGCUAAUACCGCAUAAGCCCACGGAUCCGCAUGGAUCUGCGGGAAAAGGAUUUAUUCGCUUCAGGAUGGACUCGCGUCCAAUUAGCUAGUUGGUGAGGUAACGGCCCACCAAGGCGACGAUUGGUAGCCGGACUGAGAGGUUGAACGGCCACAUUGGGACUGAGACACGGCCCAGACUCCUACGGGAGGCAGCAGUGGGGGAUAUUGCACAAUGGGGGAAACCCUGAUGCAGCGACGCCGCGUGGAGGAAGAAGGUUUUCGGAUUGUAAACUCCUGUCGUUAGGGACGAUAAUGACGGUACCUAACAAGAAAGCACCGGCUAACUACGUGCCAGCAGCCGCGGUAAAACGUAGGGUGCAAGCGUUGUCCGGAAUUACUGGGUGUAANGGGNGCGCCGGCGGUUCGGCCNGUUGGAUGUGNNNNCUNUGGGCUCCAACCCCUUAAAAUGCUUUUCAAAACUGCUGGCCUUGNGUNGUGCAGAGGUAGGGGAAAUUCCCGGUGUAGCGGUGGAAGGCGUAGAUAUCGGGAGGAACACCCGUGGCGAAGGCGCCCUACUGGGCACCAACUGACGCUGAGGCUGAAAAGCAUGGGUAGCAAACAGGAUUAGAUACCCUGGUAGUCCAUGCCGUAAACGAUGAUUACUAGGUGUUGGAGGAUUGACCCCUUCAGUGCCGCAGUUAACACAAUAAGUAAUCCACCUGGGGAGUACGACCGCAAGGUUGAAACUCAAAGGAAUUGACGGGGGCCCGCACAAGCAGUGGAGUAUGUGGUUUAAUUCGAAGCAACGCGAAGAACCUACCAGGUCUUGACAUCCGAUGCAUAGUGCAGAGAUGCAUGAAGUCCUUCGGGACAUCGAGACAGGUGGUGCAUGGUUGUCGUCAGCUCGUGUCGUGAGAUGUUGGGUUAAGUCCCGCAACGAGCGCAACCCUUAUUGCCAGUUACUACGCAAGAGGACUCUGGCGAGACUGCCGUUGACAAAACGGAGGAAGGUGGGGAUGACGUCAAAUCAUCAUGCCCUUUAUGACCUGGGCUACACACGUACUACAAUGGCGUUUAACAAAGAGAAGCAAGACCGCGAGGUGGAGCAAAACUCAAAAACAACGUCUCAGUUCAGAUUGCAGGCUGCAACUCGCCUGCAUGAAGUCGGAAUUGCUAGUAAUCGCGGAUCAGCAUGCCGCGGUGAAUACGUUCCCGGGCCUUGCACA
rnacentral:rRNA from 1 species